rnacentral:rRNA from 1 species
CGGACGGGUGAGUAACGCGUGAGAAUCUGCCCUCAGGAGGGGGAUAACGGGUGGAAACGACCGCUAAUACCCCAUAUGCCGAGAGGUGAAAAGAAAUUCGCCUGAGGAUGAGCCCGCGUCUGAUUAGCUAGUUGGGGGGGUAAAGGCCUACCGAGGCAUCGAUCAGUAGCUGGUCUGAGAGGAUGAUCAGCCACGCUGGGACUGAGACACGGCCCAUACUCCUACGGGAGGCAGCGGUGGGGAAUUUUCCGCAAUGGGCGCAAGCCUGACGGAGCAACGCCGCGUGAGGGAUGAAGGCCUCUGGGCUGUAAACCUCUUUUCUCAAGGAAGAAGAUCUGACGGUACUUGAGGAAUAAGCCACGGCUAAUUCCGUGCCAGCAGCCGCGGUAAUACGGGAGUGGCAAGCGUUAUCCGGAAUUAUUGGGCGUAAAGCGUCCGCAGGCGGCCUUGAAAGUCUGUCGUUAAAGCGAGGAGCUUAACUCCAUUUCGGCGGUGGAUACUACGAGGCUUGAGUGUGGUAGGGGCAGAAGGAAUUCGCGGUGUAGCGGUGAAAUGCGUAGAUAUCGGGAAGAACACCAGUGGCGAAGGCGCUCUGCUGGGCCAUAACUGACGCUCAUGGACGAAAGCUAGGGGAGCGAAAGGGAUUAGAUACCCCUGUAGUC